ACAAUUAAAGAUAUUGACCCAAAUUACAAGAAGAAUUUCAGCAGUUUUCUGACUGAUUUAUGGAUGAUUGCACCUUGUACACCAGAGAAAAUUGUGAAAAUAACGUUCCAGACAUAUCAUUACUAUUUAACCUGAGACGGCAAACUAGAGGUUUUAAAAAGUUCUGAAUAACUGAAAUGGACAAAAAUACACAGAUUUAUUCAGAAAGUCAUACCGAUGAAGAUCACGCAAAAAUAUUUGGAAAAAUUAGAACUAUGGAUUUCAAUAUGGGUCAAUAUCCCUAAUGCGC